rnacentral:rRNA from 1 species
AAUGUUGAAAAAUUAGCGGAUGACCUGUGGCUGGGGGUGAAAGGCCAAUCAAACCGGGAGAUAGCUGGUUCUCCCCGAAAGCUAUUUAGGUAGCGCCUCGUGAAUUCAUCUCCGGGGGUAGAGCACUGUUUCGGCCAGGGGGCCAUCCCGGCUUACCAAUCCGAUGCAAACUGCGAAUACCGGAGAAUGUUAUCACGGGAGACACACGGCGGGUGCUAACGUCCGUCGUGAAGAGGGAAACAACCCAGACCGCCAGCUAAGGUCCCAAAGUCAUGGUUAAGUGGGAAACGAUGUGGGAAGGCCCAGACAGCCAGGAUGUUGGCUUAGAAGCAGCCAUCAUUUAAAGAAAGCGUAAUAGCUCACUGGUCGAGUCGGCCUGCGCGGAAGAUGUAACGGGGCUAAACCAUGCACCGAAGCUGCGGCAGCGAACGUAUCACCCAAGACAACUUUACACAGUUGACGCCUGACGGAGCGAAGCGACGUCAAAGCGUUUUACAACGUCGAGUUGGCUUAGGGAUACGUUCGUUGGGUAGGGGAGCGUUCUGUAAGCCGUUGAAGGUGUGUCGUGAGGCAUGCUGGAGGUAUCAGAAGUGCGAAUGCUGACAUAAGUAACGAUAAAGCGGGUGAAAAGCCCGCUCGCCGGAAGACCAAGGGUUCCUGUCCAACGUUAAUCGGGGCAGGGUGAGUCGACCCCUAAGGCGAGGCCGAAAGGCGUAGUCGAUGGGAAACGGGUUAAUAUUCCCGUACUUGGUGUUACUGCGAAGGGGGGACGGAGAAGGCUAUGUUGGCCGGGCGACGGUUGUCCCGGUUUAAGCGUGUAGGUGUGUGUUCCAGGUAAAUCCGGUUCACUUUAACACUGAGGCGUGAUGACGAGGCACCACGGUGCUGAAGCAACAAAUGCCCUGCUUCCAGGAAAAGCCUCUAAGCCUCAGGUAACAUCAAAUCGUACCCCAAACCGACACAGGUGGUCAGGUAGAGAAUACCAAGGCGCUUGAGAGAACUCGGGUGAAGGAACUAGGCAAAAUGGUGCCGUAACUUCGGGAGAAGGCACGCUGACACGUAGGUGAAGUGGUUUACCCAUGGAGCUGAAGUCAGUCGAAGAUACCAGCUGGCUGCAACUGUUUAUUAAAAACACAGCACUGUGCAAACACGAAAGUGGACGUAUACGGUGUGACGCCUGCCCGGUGCCGGAAGGUUAAUUGAUGGGGUCAGCGCAAGCGAAGCUCCUGAUCGAAGCCCCGGUAAACGGCGGCCGUAACUAUAACGGUCCUAAGGUAGCGAAAUUCCUUGUCGGGUAAGUUCCGACCUGCACGAAUGGCGUAAUGAUGGCCAGGCUGUCUCCACCCGGGACUCAGUGAAAUUGAACUCGCUGUGAAGAUGCAGUGUACCCGCGGCAAGACGGAAAGACCCCGUGAACCUUUACUAUAGCUUGACACUGAACACUGGUCCUUGAUGUGCAGGAUAGGUGGGAGGCUUUGAAGUGUGGACGCCAGUCUGCAUGGAGCCAUCCUUGAAAUACCACCCUUUAAUGGCUGGUGUUCUAACGUGGGCCCGUGAACCGGGUUGCGGACAGUGUCUGGUGGGUAGUUUGACUGGGGCGGUCUCCUCCUAAAGAGUAACGGAGGAGCACGAAGGUUGGCUAAUCCUGGUCGGACAUCAGGAGGUUAGUGCAAUGGCAUAAGCCAGCUUGACUGCGAGCGUGACGGCGCGAGCAGGUGCGAAAGCAGGUCAUAGUGAUCCGGUGGUUCUGAAUGGAAGGGCCAUCGCUCAACGGAUAAAAGGUACUCCGGGGAUAACAGGCUGAUACCGCCCAAGAGUUCAUAUCGACGGCGGUGUUUGGCACCUCGAUGUCGGCUCAUCACAUCCUGGGGCUGAAGUAGGUCCCAAGGGUAUGGCUGUUCGCCAUUUAAAGUGGUACGCGAGCUGGGUUUAGAACGUCGUGAGACAGUUCGGUCCCUAUCUGCCGUGGGCGCUGGAAGAUUGAGGGGGGCUGCUCCUAGUACGAGAGGACCGGAGUGGACGCAUCACUGGUGUUCGGGUUGUCAUGCCAAUGGCACUGCCCGGUAGCUACAUGCGGAAGAGAUAAGUGCUGAAAGCAUCUAAGCACGAAACUUGCCCCGAGAUGAAUCUUCCCUGAGCCUUUAAGGCUCCUGAAGGAACGUUGAAGACGACGACGUUGAUAGGCCGGGUGUGUAAGCGCAGCGAUGCGUUGAGCUAACCGGUACUAAUGAACCGUGAGGCUUAACCUUACA